AUCUUGAUUAAUACAAAUCAUUGGAUCUAAGUAAGGAGUAGAACACCGGAACCCUUCUCCAAACUCCUAUUUUCCGAUCGUUUUUGAUCCCGAACCCUUUUCCCAACUCCUCAUCUCACGCGACCUUCUCCAUCCAACUCUCCGGCAAACCCCUCUCUGGCGAACCCCUCUCCGCGAACCACUCCUCCGAACUCCUCUCCGUCAAGACCACACCUUCGUCAAGCGACAGAUCUCGGUGCUGAGGCGAUCAACCACGGCAGAUCCUGGUGCUGAGGCCUCCUCUCUUCCCUGCCGCCGCUUCCACUUUCCACCAAGAAAAACCCUUCCCCUCAGCCUCGUAACCCUCCUUCCGAUCUUUGUCGUCGGCCCGAUUCCUCAGACUGCUCGCUGAUUAGACCCUCAGAUGGCCUCCGGAUCGGGAGUUCACGGUUGUUUCUUCUGAUUCGGCAGUUUUCCACUGGCUUCACGAGUGUCCAUGGGGAGAGGUCGUCGGCAGAGUACGCCAAGCGGCGCAAGGAGUCGUUGGAGACGGAGUUUGGGCACAUCCUUGGAGCCCACCGAUCUGAGUCCUGGUUUUCUUAUCAUCGGUUUGGUCCCUUCUUGGCGCUGUAUAGAGCGGCGAUCAUUUCCUUUUACCUGGCCAAACUGACCGUAUGACAUUUCUUUGUCCGAGAUAUAAGGAAGCGAGCUGUCAAGGUGAACCAGUCAUCCUCUAUAACAUCUUUUUCAUGCUGUUUCCUAAUUAAUUGCAAUUCAUAAAGAGAUUCAGCUUUGCUAUCUAUUUUUUUUAGAAUUCUAAAUUGAACAUUGUGGUUUUGUGUAGUGGAGCUUCCCAAAUUUUAUACUAGUUUUACUAAUCUUAAUCACACCAAUUUUGCCUUCUUUUACCUCUGUUUGAUAUGCGAAUAUAAAUUAAUGCAUAUUGAACAAAAUAUUUAUUGUGUAUAAAGAUUUAUUCUUUAGCUUGUAGGAAUGACUUAGACAUGAAAAUGGGAAUACAACCGCUACAGAAUGCCUGUAAUGCUUCCUGCAUAUUAAACUGACUUUAUGUUGUGUACAAGGAUUCAAGAACUUAUUUGCAACCUGUAGAGAAAUGAAGAUGAAGGGUAUGGUGUGCUUUGAUCACUAAUGCUAAAAAGAAUGACAAGGGAGAUAUCAACAAUUCUUGGCAGCAAUCAGGCAAAUGUGUGUAACUUUGGCCAUAAGUUGGGUCAUACAAGUAAUUUGAAGUUGGUGUAGAAGUGUUUAUAGAUGGAUCAUGUUCAACCCUAAGUCAGUUUCUUGGUAUUAUGGUAGAUUGAAUAAUGCUAUAGUUUCAUUGUCUAAUUAAGUUUUUUAGACUCUAUAUUCAAAAUAUCAAUGAAAUGGAUGAUCUACAUUAUCGGUUGGACCAAUACAUAGUGCACACAAUAUUGUACUAUAUUAAUAGAAAAUAAUUAUUUUUAUAGUGUAAUAUAUCAUACAAUGUUGUAUCAAAUAGGAAACACUGUCUACUAUCGACUACCCAUAAUUGGAUGUCUUACUACCUCCUGUUCAGUAAAUAGCAGUCUUACUAAUUGUAUAUGCACUAAUUAUGUGUUUGUUGCAUAGUUUCCAUUGAAUUCUCGCUGUCAUUGACCCUUACAAUGAAGCUAUUUAUUAGUUGGAUUCUCUAAGACACCGCAUUCAUGAUGAGGAUUGGAAAUAUAUAGUGGAAAUGUCAGUUCAUAUUUCUUUUUUAUUAAGCAUUUAUGCUAAUACAAAACUCAUAUAUAAAAAAAUCAUUAACGUAUGAAGGGCCUUAAGAUUGUUUAAUUCAAACAAGGGAAGGAAAGGUAGAAAAAAGGCUAUGUGGGUAAUAGUAAAGGUAUGUGUAAUUACAUAUAGCAUAUAUUUUAAUGUGUAUGUUUAUCAUUAAUAAUUUAUCUCUAAUUUCCAUAGGCUCCUCGACAACAAGAUGACAAACAAUGUGGUUACUAUGUGAUGCGAUUUAUGAGACAAAUUGUUGAAGAAGUUGAAAUUAUCGAAAGAGAUUCACUACGAUCUAUAUUCACACAAACAGAGUAUUCUUGAGAAGAAAUUGAUGAGGUGCGAUCGGAGUUGGCAGAAUGUAUACAAGAUCAUAUUUAUGAGUAGGUUUGAUGCUGUUAUACACUUCGGUGGACUAAAACCUAUUGGUGAAAGUUCAUUUAGGAAUAUUUUUAUUUGUCUAAACCCCUACUACACUUCGCUGGACAUAGUUUAUAAUUACUUUUUCUUUAUCUUGCAGUGAGAAUCUUCAAUAUUACUUUUUCUAUAAAAUGCUCCAGUUAGUCGUAUCCUUUUGACUUCCUAGUAAAAUAUAUUUGAUUUGUGAGCAAUAGUUUCUCCAGCUUAUUAAUUUUCACUACUGCUUAUUAGUGGCUUCUUAUCAAUCCUAGUGGCUAGUCGCUUGGAUGUAGAUGUUCUAGUUCUAAUCAACACAAUGACACUCUAAAAUGGAUAAGUUCUGUUUUGUACACAAUCUAAUUAUCAUUGGUGACUAGUCACUUAGGUGGAGAUGCUCCAGUACUUAAACUCUAGAUCAUUUUUUUCCUACUUGGCUCAAGCCACAGCAGCAGUAGUUAAAAAAUUACAAGGGCAACAAUUAAGCUGUAGCUUAGAUACAUUGGAGUACUUUCUUGUCUUCAGUUUGUUGCCCUUAAUUCAUGCUAAGUCAUUAUGGGUUCGGUCAUCGGCAUUGUGAUGAAUGGCACAAUAUUAAGUCUAUUAUGCAAGCUUUCUUUGCAAAUAUUCUGCAAGCUUUAUGCAAGAUUUUUGCAAGCUUUAUGCAAGAUUUUGGCAAGCUUUAAGUCUAUUAAGCAUGUUAAACUAAAAAUUCUACAAGCUUUCUUUAGGAAGUUAGCAAUUUUCCACUAUUGGUUAAACUCAUAUUCUAAACGUUUCAUUUUAGCUUUUUUUCUGCAAAUACUGUAUGCAUUUUAGAAUGGAGAAAUACUGUAUGCAUUUUAGAAUGGAGAAAUUGCAAGCUUUCUCUGCAUAUUAGAAACUGCACAGUUUGAAGAAUGCAGUUUAGAAACUGCAUGCAUUUUAGAAUGCAUAUUAGAAAUUGCAUGCAUUUUAGAAUGCAGUUUGAAGAAACGUUGCCUUUCUACAAGCCAAGCUUUCUUUCUGCAAGCUUUAUUUCUGCAGUGUGAAGAAACGUUACAUUUCUGCAACAACAGUGCUUUUUGCAAGAAAGCGUUUGCAGAGAAGAAAGUGUUUCAUUUCUGCAAGCUUUCUUU